rnacentral:rRNA from 1 species
UCUUGGUCAUUUAGAGGAAGUAAAAGUCGUAACAAGGUUUCCGUAGGUGAACCUGCGGAAGGAUCAUUAAAGAGUUAGGGUCUUCUCGGCCCGACCUCCCAACCCUUUGUCUAUUGAACCUCUGUUGCUUCGGCGGACCCGUCCCCUCGGGGACCGCCGGAGGACCGUCGCAAGGCGUCCUCUGGCCCGCGUCCGCCGGUGGCCGACCAUUUAAACUCUUGAUUAAAUCAUGUUAUACUGUCUAAGUUUUAUAAGUUAAUAAAAGCAAAACUUUCAACAACGGAUCUCUUGGUUCUGGCAUCGAUGAAGAACGCAGCGAAAUGCGAUAAGUAAUGCGAAUUGCAGAAUUCCAGUGAGUCAUCGAAUCUUUGAACGCACAUUGCGCCCUUUGGCAUUCCGAAGGGCAUGCCUGUUCGAGCGUCAUUAUCACCCUUCAAGCCCUGCGCUUGGUGUUGGACGGCUUGGUCGCAUAUCUCGUUCGACCCCUCCUAAAGACAAUGACGGCGGCCUGUGGUUCCCCCGGUACACUGAGCUUUUUAACCGAGCACGUAUCGGACAAGGGC